AGGACCCACUGCUCAUGAGUCUUGCAUCAGGACCUAGGUCUCUUAGGUCCUGCGUCGGGACCCAAUCAUCUUGGGUCCUUUGUCAGGACCCAAGGUUUUUAGGUCUU
rfam:Populus trichocarpa scaffold_6_contig_299, whole genome shotgun sequence.